GGGACGAACGCUGGCGGCGUGCUUAACACAUGCAAGUCGAGCGGUAAGGCCUUUCGGGGUACACGAGCGGCGAACGGGUGAGUAACACGUGGGUGAUCUGCCCUGCACUCUGGGAUAAGCCUGGGAAACUGGGUCUAAUACCGGAUAUGACCUGCUCUCGCAUGGGGGUGGGUGGAAAAGAUUUUAUCGGGUGCAGGGAUCGGGGCCCGCGGCCUAUCCAGCUUUGGUUGGGUGGGGUAAUGGCCUACCGAAGGCGACGACGGGUA
rnacentral:rRNA from 1 species